GUGAUUAAAUCGAGCGCUGUCUUCAUUGACCGCUCACCCUUCUCACCAUCCACAUACACCUGUGCACUGUUUAGCCUGAGCCGGUUUUCCGGUCCAGGUUAUCAUUUCAUACAAACUCUAGUCUUAUGAAUGUAAACGUUUUAAUAACAUAAUA
rnacentral:misc_RNA from 1 species